GGCCACACUGGGACUGAGACACGGCCCAGACUCCUACGGGAGGCAGCAGUGGGGAAUAUUGGGCAAUGGAGGGAACUCUGACCCAGCGACGCCGCGUGCGGGAUGAAGGCCUUCGGGUUGUAAACCUCUUUCAGCAGGGAAGAAGCGAAAGUGACGGUACCUGCAGAAGAAGCACCGGCUAACUAUGUGCCAGCAGCCGCGGUAAUACAUAGGGUGCAAGCGUUGUCCGGAAUUAUUGGGCGUAAAGAGCUCGUAGGUGGUUCGUAACGUCUGAUGUGAAACUCUGGGGCUUAACCCCAGACCUGCAUUCGAUACGGGCGAACUAGAGUGUGGUAGGGGAGACUGGAAUUCCUGGUGUAGCGGUGAAAUGCGCAGAUAUCAGGAGGAACACCAAUGGCGAAGGCAGGUCUCUGGGCCUUUACUGACACUGAGGAGCGAAAGCGUGGGGAGCGAACAGGAUUAGAUACCCUGGUAG
rnacentral:rRNA from 1 species